CUAUUGAAUUCAUAUUUUUAGGGUAAGCUAAUCAAAAGACAAAAAAGAAGGCUUCAAAAAUAUAAAAUGUCCGGACACCUGACCCUACAUCCUACGAAACAGAUUACCACAUCUAACAGUUAGGCCUAUAAUCUGGAUCUGGAUGUGUACGAUGCAGGGCCCUCCUGGGCAUGAACGCAUCGGAUGAGCCUGAGAUCGGGGCUACUGGAAGAAGUCACUACGCAACAGAUUCAGGAAUUGCAGGAAAUGUCAUGAACGUGAUAAUCCAUUAGGACAAAUGGAAGCAAAGAAAGGGGACUACACCCAAACCAGACAAAGCUGCAGGCAAACACAUGUAUGGCAUAAAGAAAGUACCUUCCUGCAUCCCCAGAAAGUGAGGAUGAAGAAACGAUCAAUGCUCACAUCAAGAUGCUUCAGAAUGAAUCCAGAAAAACAAGACAGGACAGCUUGAUGAUAGACAAUCUACUAACUUAUGCCCAUAGGCGCAAGGGUAUCAUCAACAGCAACUGGACUGAAUCCUACUUGAAGGAUAUGUACCCUUACCUUUUCCAUGAAGAUGAGAGUUUGAGAGACUGUCAGAGGACCCAACUAAGCAGAAGUUGGAAGCAGGACAUUUGAAUAUGCUGAUCCAUUACUAGAGAUAUGCAAGACUCCCAAGCAAGGUUUGGAGCUCAAAAACCUGAUCUUGGCUGCAGCAGCAGAAAAUGAAGACACCAGGAAAAUGAUCAAAUCAUGUGGAGCACUUCUGUUGAUUCCUACUAUUUUUGGAGAGAAGGCAUUGCUUUGUCAGCAUAGCCAGGAUAAAAAACGGACCAAUCGCCAAAAUCAUCUA